GGCCUCUGUCACUUAGAAUUAUAUCCAUGCUCCAACACCAAUCCCUCCCUAACAUUAGCUAGUUCUAACACGAUGCUUUCUGUGUGCCAGGUACUAUUCUAUAAGUAUGUUACACAUUUUAACUCAGUCUUCACAGAAAGGUAGGAUUUACCAUGAUUUCCAUUUUAUAGAUGAAAUAACCAAGGAAUAGAGAGGAGUUAAGUAAAUUACCCACAAAUACCCAGAUAGUAAAGUGAUGUAAGUAGAAUUUGACUCGGGAAAUCUGGCUUCAGAGGCUGGGCUCUUAGUUACACACCAUGUGGGAAACGGUUAACUAUGCACUCUUUAUGUUGAAAUUAAUCUUUUUAAACUAUGUAAAUAAGAGGGUGAUUCUUGGUGUUGAUCUCCUGAGAAGAUAGGACAUAUUCCACCCCCCAGGACUGGCAUGUGGCCCAGUGGCAGUGCCAGAACCUUUGAACACACAGCUCUAUUCCAUGUGACACCAGUGGAAAACGAAGCAUUUCUUGGCAGUGUUGAUGAGUAUUUGGAUGAAAAAAACAGAAGAGCUCAUUAAACCUGUAAAACUCUGUUCCAGAGGUGACCAGCAUUACUUCCCCUGGGAAGUCACUGAAAAACAAUUACCCUGAGACACAGAUUGAGUUAAGAAAACUUUUAAGCUAUUUAUAACUUUUAACAAUAGAGUCAAGUAUAUUUCUGAGAACAAAAUUUGGAGCAUAUUCGUUUCUCUCUACCUGAUAUCUCCAGAAUUUGGAAACUAUUUGCUCUCUUUUUACCUGCUGCCAUCCAUGUAAGACAUGACUUGUUUCUCCUUGCCUUCUGCCAUGAUAGUGAGGCUUCCCCAGACACUUGGAACUGUGCAGAGAUGUUGGGCUCACUGGAGCUGCACUCACCUCCCAUGUGAUGCUGUGUCAAAAAUGAUCUUUCCCUGUGCAUCCAUCGGCCAAAUCUCCUCCCCAGGCUGGAACACGAAAAGAAAGAGAGUUUGCACAAAGCUCUGUCUGGCCUCAGCCAAGCUUGGGGCCCAGAAACCUUGAGACUGAUAGAACCAUCUGUCCUUAUUCUUGAACAGAUUUGUAAAAUUAGGCUAAUGGCUAGGGAAGUACUUGCAGGAAAUAUGCGUCCUAGAAAUGCUUUUGAACGUUACAGAUUCAAUAAAUAUUGACUGUGUCAAGGCUAAGCUGAGGCACCUGGAUCCCCUCCCAGGCAGACUCUAGGGUGUUAUGGUGCCCAGCAGGCCCCCUGGUCCUGGACCCUUGCGAAGAGCUGUCUCCUUGCCAGUGACUUGUCAGCAUUCAAAGCUGAGUCUCGUCCUCACCGAACUUCCUGUUCCUAAACUGAACUCCACUGUCGGCGACAUGGGUUUGAGACUCCAGGGGAUAAGAACUUGAAAAUGUCGGCAGUACAUCCACAACACUGCGGCAAAGCCGUGGAUACCAGUGAACUCCUGUCACUCUAGGGCUAGAGUUGUGAACUGACUUUGGAAAAGUUUCAGAAAAAUAAAAAGCACAAGAGAGAAUCGUAAAGUAUUAUUUAUCUUCUCAUCCUCACAAACUGAUUCCUCUCUUGCAUUCAGUUGCUAAUAUUUAUGUUGAUCACCAAAUUAAAACAACUUGUGCUAACCUGCAAAGGUACUGGGAAAUGAAGAAGGUAAAGAUCCACGUAGCUCAGCUAAAGUUUCUUCAGUGACAUUUCAAGGCCUCUUUGGACCAAUUCUGGGCAGGAAAAGGUGCCCCACAGCUGCAAUGAUUGAAAGAGAAGUUGUGUGAGAUUAUUUCUUCAAAAGUCUUCGAGAGAGCUUAUUGAAAUGGCAAAUAAACAUCAGCAGCCAAACUAUCUUAGAGAAGUGACAAGUUACUCCCAGUGAACGCGUAAGUUCUUAAUUAUCAUGGCAGAUUUUCAUAUGGAAUAAAGACGAUAAAUGUAGGAAAAAAAUACGGGUUUCAGCAGAGAUUCUCAAACUUUAGAAGGUAAAAGAAUAAUCUGAUUUGCUUGUACAAAACAUAUUCCUGGGUUCUACUCCAAACGUAAUAAAUCACAACGUCUAGAGAGUGGACUGGGAAAAUGCCUGCCAGACAAUAGCCUGAACUGAUGGUGAUUCAGUAGGCCCUGGCUUGACUGUAUUAAAUGGUUAGGUUUCCCAAAGAAAGUUAGGCCCAUAGGAGAAAUCUUUUUUGGGUGCUUCAGUUCCCUCGUUCUAAGAAGCAGUAAUCUAGGGGAAGAAAUCAUCAAAAUGACUAAAACUAAGGAAACCAGCGUUUCGUACAAUGUUUUGUUUGAAGGGUCACACAUUUAGUGCGAAAGGAGAAUUAAAAGAUGGGACUGAGAAAGCUAGUGCCGUAGCUACUGCACAGCUAAAGGCAGUCAUAUGUCACAUGCUGGGCUGGAAGGAAGAAACUUUUUUUAAAAAUCAACUUGCAUAGGAUUCACUUGCAUGGGCCUAAGUGCUAUCUCUGUGGACUACUUCCCCUCACGUUUAAAUGGUUUUUGUUUUUUGUUUUUUCUAGCAGUAGUCAGGUGAGUGAAUACUAGGGUAAAAAUUGCUUUGGGGUUCCUUUCCCUAUCUGACUUAAAUACAUAAGUUAUUUUAUUUGUUUAGGAUAUGAUGCCAGUGAAUAUGAAGAAUAUUAUUAAUAGAAGAAAAUGGCUCAAGGGUUUAAAAAGUACAUAAGUACAUUUACAAACAUUAACUUAAUCUUCAGAGAAAUAAACAGUAAACAUUUAUUGACCACAAAAUGGGUGGAGAUGUCAGGAGGAAGGCUCAGAGAGGUUAAAAAACUUUUUUGGUUAAGAAAUUUCACCAAGUCAAAUGGAAUAUUCAAGAACUAAAAUUUGAUCCUAGUUCAUCUGUUUCCAAAGCCUAUGCUUUCUGACUAAAUCACAUUACUUCAUACUUUAGCUAAGAAAGAUUAAGUCACUUUGUCAAAACUUGACUAUCGUAGAGUAGGAAAAGUCAAAUCAUUUCUGAGUUAAAACAUAUGAUAAUAAUAACAGCAUUUUUGAGCAUCUGAAAUGUUAUCAAAUACUUUUCAGCAAGAUUUACAUGUGUUUUUAAAAGUGUAACACUCAUGAAAAUCCUGUGACAUAAAUAAUACUGUCUCUGUUUUACAACUUGGGAAACUGAAGGAUAGUAUUUUAGUAGUUUGUCGAAGGUCGCACAUAUUCAUUUAUUUUUACACUUGCUAUAGACUAGGGAAGGUCACACAUUUAAUAAGUGGCAGAGCCUGGAUUCAAAUAUAAAAGUCUCAUUACAGAAUUCACAUUCCUAACCAGACUUCUCAUGACGCAAGGUCUGAGUAGAUGAAGAUUAAACCAAUGAAGAGAAAUUUGCCAAGGAGCUCUACAGCUAAGAGUGAGCUCUCCACAGAAACAGAUGCAUUGGUACACAGCACCUUUGUGGUAUAGAAUAUAUCUUUUCUCUUCACAGUGCCGUUGGCAAUCUUCUUUUGGAUGGCCUGCCCGAUGGCUUCUUCAUUCAGGUACGAAUAAGCUGAGUCAAUAUGGUGGUAGCCUACAUCAAUUGCUACCUGGACGGCCUCUUCUACAUUACUCAUAGUAACCUGGAAGAGCAUAAAGAGAUAAAGAUUUGUUUGACUCAGGAACAGAUGAUCAAUUCUCUUAGCAGAGAUAUUCAAAAGAACCUUUUUUCCCCCCUACUAAGGGCUAAGAGCUAGAGGUGGCAAAGCUAAAUGUUGAGUAAAAAUCAAUAGUAAGUGUUUAGCAACUAGCUCUGAGGAAGUCCUGGUUUGUAGUAUUUGCCAAUUUCUGUAGUGUAAAUACUCCCACUAUGGAUGAGUUCAAGCUUGCUAAAUUGGGCAAAGAUGCUCACAAUACACUCUUUUGAGUCCUUAUGAGCACAUCACAGUCUUUAAAUCUCUAUGUAUUUAUAGUAUGUUUAUGAUCUAUAGAUUUGCACAAUCUAUAGAUUUACAUUCCUAACUUAAUUUGCUCUAUAAGAGGUUAUAAAAUUGGUUUUGAUCCAAUAAUUUAGUUCUAAUAGUUGUCUAUCCACAUAAAGAUAUAACUUUAGACACAAUAAAUUAUUAAUUUACCUAUCUAAACUUGGAAAAACAAAGAACAUUUGAGGAAGAAUAAAAA
rnacentral:lncRNA from 1 species